rnacentral:rRNA from 1 species
GACGAACGCUGGCGGCGUGCCUAAUACAUGCAAGUCGAGCGAACUUGCGGGAGCUUGCUCCCAAAAGUUAGCGGCGGACGGGUGAGUAACACGUGGGCAACCUGCCUAUAAGACUGGGAUAACUUCGGGAAACCGGAGCUAAUACCGGAUAAUUCUUUUCUACUCAUGUAGGAAAGCUGAAAGAUGGUUUCGGCUAUCACUUAUAGAUGGGCCCGCGGCGCAUUAGCUAGUUGGUGAGGUAACGGCUCACCAAGGCGACGAUGCGUAGCCGACCUGAGAGGGUGAGCGGCCACACGGGGACUGAGACACGGCCCAGACUCCUACGGGAGGCAGCAGUAGGGAAUCUUCCGCAAUGGACGAAAGUCUGACGGAGCAACGCCGCGUGAGUGAUGAAGGUUUUCGGAUCGUAAAACUCUGUUGUUAGGGAAGAACAAGUACUAGAGUAACUGCUAGUACCUUGACGGUACCUAACCAGAAAGCCACGGCUAACUACGUGCCAGCCGCCGCCGUAACAC